UACGUAGGGUGCGAGCGUUAAUCGGAAUUACUGGGCGUAAAGCGUGCGCAGGCUGUUUGGUAAGUCAGAUGUGAAAUCCCCGAGCUCAACUUGGGAACUGCGUUUGAAACUACCAGACUAGAAUAUGUCAGAGGGGGGUAGAAUUCCACGUGUAGCAGUGAAAUGCGUAGAGAUGUGGAGGAAUACCGAUGGCGAAGGCAGCCCCCUGGGAUAAUAUUGACGCUCAUGCACGAAAGCGUGGGGAGCGAACAGGAUUAGAUACCCGGGUAGUCC
rnacentral:rRNA from 1 species